rnacentral:rRNA from 1 species
CCCGCCCGAGGACCCUAAACUCUGUUUUUAGUGGAACUUCUGAGUAAAACAAACAAAUAAAUCAAAACUUUCAACAACGGAUCUCUUGGUUCUGGCAUCGAUGAAGAACGCAGCAAAAUGCGAUAAGUAAUGUGAAUUGCAGAAUUCAGUGAAUCAUCGAAUCUUUGAACGCACAUUGCGCCCGCCAGUAUUCUGGCGGGCAUGCCUGUUCGAGCGUCAUUUCAACCCUCAAGCUCAGCUUGGUGUUGGGACUCGCGGUAACCCGCGUUCCCCAAAUCGAUUGGCGGUCACGUCGAGCUUCCAUAGCGUAGUAAUCAUACACCUCGUUACUGGUAAUCGUCGCGGCCACGCCGUAAAACCCCAACUUCUGAAUGUUGACCUCGGAUCAGGUAGGAAUACCCGCUGAACUUAAGCAUAUCAAUAAGCGGAGGA